AACUCGGCCAUUUAGAGGAAGUACAAGUCGUAACAAGGUUUCCGUAGGUGAACCUGCGGAAGGAUCAUAGUAAUCGUCUUUGACGUUACGUUUCCGUUCGUCCUCGGGACGUUAAGGCGCUCUGGUCGAGGAUAAACGACCCCUCUGACCGAGGUAAAGCCGUCUCCCUGUGUUACCUCUUUCCCGAGGCACACGUUAAAGAUCGUUCCGCAUUGUGAGUCCACACCAGUUGUAACACUUUUACAACCGGUAGCGCUGGAUCCCUUGGCACGUCAUUCGAUGAAGACCGUUGCAAAUUGCGAUAAAGUGAUGUGAUGCGCAAGUCCACCACUUAUACGUGAAUCAUCGAGUUGUUGAAUGCACCGCACCGCGCCCUAAUCCGGCUGCGGUAUGCCCCUUUGAGCGUCAUUGUAUCCCUUCGGGAGUCUUUUCAUCGAGACCCGAGUUCGGAGUCCUCGGUCUUUGGAUCGUGUUCUCUCAGAUGCAUCGCGCCGAUCGCCUGAUGGGUCGCUCUAAUGCCUAAGCGUGGAGUCCCUCGGAGCCCGAAACGCGCUUGACCGGGUGUUGAGCCCGUGUCGCCAAGUCCGCACGUCUUACGUGGCGGUACUACAACGCAUGACCUCAUUGGGGUAGGACAACCCGCUAGACUUAAGCAUAUUAAUCAGCGGAGGAAAAGAAACUAACCAGGAUUCCCUCAGUAACUGCGAGUGAAGCGGACCGGCUCAAUGUGUGAAUCUGGCGG
rnacentral:rRNA from 1 species